rnacentral:rRNA from 1 species
GACGAACGCUGGCGGCGUGCUUAACACAUGCAAGUCGAACGAAAAGAGGGAAAGAGCUUGCUCUUUCCGGAAUUGAGUGGCAAACGGGUGAGUAACACGUAAACAACCUGCCUUCAGGAUGGGGACAACAGACGGAAACGACUGCUAAUACCGAAUACGUUCCAAGGGCCGCAUGGCCCAUGGAAGAAAAGGUGGCCUCUACCUGUAAGCUAUCGCCUGAAGAGGGGUUUGCGUCUGAUUAGCUGGUUGGAGGGGUAACGGCCCACCAAGGCGACGAUCAGUAGCCGGUCUGAGAGGAUGAACGGCCACACUGGAACGGAGACACGGUCCAGACUCCUACGGGAGGCAGCAGUGGGGAAUCGUCCGCAAUGGGCGAAAGCCUGACGGAGCAACGCCGCGUGAGUGAUGACGGCCUUCGGGUUGUAAAACUCUGUGAUCCGGGACGAAAAGGCAGAGUGCGAAGAACAAACUGCAUUGACGGUACCGGAAAAGCAAGCCACGGCUAACUACGUG